rnacentral:rRNA from 1 species
AGAGUUUGAUCCUGGCUCAGAGCGAACGGUGGCGGCGUGGAUUAGGCAUGCAAGUCGCACGCGAACGGAAUAGCUUGCUAUUCCUAUUAGAGUGGCGAACGGGUGAGUAAUGUAUGGACAACCUACCCUUGACUUUGGGACAACCGUUGGAAACGACGGCUAAUACCAAAUAGUCCCGUGAAGAGGUACUCGACACGGGUAAAGAUGGAUUCCAUUGAUUGAGGAGGGGUCCAUAUCCCAUCAGCUUGUUGGCGGGGUAAUGGCCCACCAAGGCAUCGACGGGUAGCCGAACUGAGAGGUUGAUCGGCCACAUCGGGACUGAGACACUGCCCGGACUCCUACGGGAGGCUGCAGUCGAGAAUCUUCCGCAAUGGACGCAAGUCUGACGGAGCGACGCCGCGUGAAGGAUGAAGGCCCUCGGGUUGUAAACUUCUGUCACUCGUGAAGAACGUCCAAGGUAAAGCCUGGGAUUGACGUUAGCGAGAGAGGAAGCCACGGCUAACUUCGUGCCAGCAGCCGCGGUAAUACGAAGGUGGCAACCGUUGCUCGGAUUCACUGGGCAUAAAGCGCGCGUAGGUGGCAACGUAAGUCAUUGGUGAAAUCCCACCGCUCAACGGUGGAACUGCCAGUGAAACUGCCUUGCUUGAGGACGGGAGGGGAGAGUGGAACUCUUGGUGUAGCGGUGAAAUGCGUAGAUAUCAAGAGGAACGCCGGUGGCGAAAGCGACUCUCUGGACCGAUCCUGACACUGAGGUGCGAAAGCUAGGGGAGCAAACAGGAUUAGAUACCCUGGUAGUCCUAGCUGUAAACGAUGGGCACUGGGUAGAGGAGGUUAUAUGCCUUCCCUGCCGGAGCUAAUGUAUUAAGUGCCCCGCCUGGGGAGUAUGGUCGCAAGGCUAAAACUCAAAGGAAUUGACGGGGGCUCACACAAGCGGUGGAGGAUGUGGUUUAAUUCGAAGCAACGCGCAGAACCUUACCCGGGUUUGAAAUGAUAGGAUUAGGCUCCUGAAAGGGAGUUGACGCCGCAAGGUGGAACUAUCACAGGUGUUGCAUGGCUGUCGUCAGCUCGUGUCGUGAGAUGUCGGGUUAAGUCCCUUAACGAGCGAAACCCUUGUCAUUAGUUGCCAGCGAGUAAAGUCGGGGACUCUAAUGAGACUGCCGUUGUUAAAACGGAGGAAGGUGGGGAUGACGUCAAGUCAUCAUGGCCUUUAUGUCCGGGGCUACACACGUCCCACAAUGGCCGAUACAAAGGGAAGCGAAACCGCAAGGUCAAGCAAAUCCCACAAAGUCGGUCCCAGUUCGGAUUGCGGGCUGCAAUUCGCCCGCAUGAAGUCGGAAUCGCUAGUAAUCGCGGAUCAGCUACGCCGCGGUGAAUAUGUUCCUGAGCCUUGUACACACCGCCCGU